UACAGAGGUCUCAACCGUUGUUCGGAUUCAUUGGGCGUAAAGGGGGCGUAGGCGGUCGUGCAAGUCGGAUGUGAAAUCUCAGGGCUCAACCCUGAAACUGCAUUCGAUACUGCGCGGCUAGAGUGCUGGAGGGGAGACUGGAAUUUACGGUGUAGCAGUGAAAUGCGUAGAUAUCGUAAGGAAGACCAGUGGCGAAGGCGCGUCUCUGGACAGCAACUGACGCUGAGGCACGAAGGCCAGGGGAGCAAACGGG
rnacentral:rRNA from 1 species